rnacentral:snRNA from 1 species
GCUCUGACAGAACAUAAACUAAAUUUGAACGAUACAGUGAAGACUAGCAUCCUCUUUGAGGAUGACACACAACUUCAGGGAAUGGAUCAAAUUUUA